rnacentral:rRNA from 1 species
UUUGAGUGAGUGGCGAACUGGUGAGUAACACGUGGGAAACCUGCCCAGAAGCGGGGGAUAACACCUGGAAACAGAUGCUAAUACCGCAUAACAACUUGGACCGCAUGGUCCGAGUUUGAAAGAUGGCUUCGGCUAUCACUUUUGGAUGGUCCCGCGGCGUAUUAGCUAGAUGGUGAGGUAACGGCUCACCAUGGCAAUGAUACGUAGCCGACCUGAGAGGGUAAUCGGCCACAUUGGGACUGAGACACGGCCCAAACUCCUACGGGAGGCAGCAGUAGGGAAUCUUCCACAAUGGACGAAAGUCUGAUGGAGCAACGCCGCGUGAGUGAAGAAGGGUUUCGGCUCGUAAAACUCUGUUGUUAAAGAAGAACAUAUCUGAGAGUAACUGUUCAGGUAUUGACGGUAUUUAACCAGAAAGCCACGGCUAACUACGUGCCAGCAGCCGCGGUAAUACGUAGGUGGCAAGCGUUGUCCGGAUUUAUUGGGCGUAAAGCGAGCGCAGGCGGUUUUUUAAGUCUGAUGUGAAAGCCUUCGGCUCAACC